rnacentral:tRNA from 1 species
UUAAAGAUAGGCUAUAUAAGCCUUUAGGCUCAUGACCUGAUGAAGUGACUUAAUCACUCUUUACU